UCCCACAUGCCCACAUAGUCAUAUUCCUUGACAGAAAGGAAAAGAAACACAAGUACCCCGAACCAUCAGAGGUAGAUAGGAUAACAUGCACUGAAAUUCAAGACUAGUUGAUCCAUAAGGAUAUGUAGUGGUUGAGAACUACAUGUUGCAUGGACCAUGUGGCAUGGUCGACAACACAUGUAUAAGAAAGUUCCCUAAAAAAUAUGACAGUAAUACCACUGUAGGUGAAGAUGGAUAACCAGUAUAUAGAAAACGAUAAGAUCAAUAGGUGCCUCAAGUACACGUACAUAUCAGGCAAUGACGUGUGUUGAAGAAUAUUUCAGUUCAAAAUGCACUUUCAAGAUCCCUGCAUCGAAAGGUUGCGUUUCCACCUAGAGAAUGAGCAACAAAUCAUUUUAACUGAUUAUACAGAUUUAACAAAGAUCGUAAGGAAAGAAAGAGUGGGAAUAACAAAAUGUACAUAGUGGAUGGAGACAAACAAGAUCCCGUGAAGCAAGAGAAUUAACAUAUGCAGAGUUCCCGUUAAAAUGGGUAUGGAAGAAAAAAGAGAAAAAGUGGGGCAAAACAAAGAAAGGAAGAUACGCUGGAAUGAUAUAUAUGCUCAUACAACAAAUGGUGAAAAAUACUACAUGCGAAUGCUACUUAACGCCCGCAAAGGAUGCAUGUCUUUCAAAAGGAACCGUAAAUGGAGUUGUCCACACUUCAUACAAAUCUGCUUGCGAAGCACUAGGAUAUCAACGACAGAGUGGAUUGAGUGCAUAAAUGGGGCAUCAGACUGGGUGAUUGGCUACCAGCUAAGACAACUGUUCACAACUCUUAUGCCAUUGAAGUCACAAGCCCAAAAAUAUUGUGGGGGACAUGCUCAGAAGUUCUAAGCGAACACAUGGAGUAUAGGCAGAGAAGGCUCUUGAACUAUCCUACACUUUGACUAACAGAUACACAGAAGCAAGGAUACGCCUUGGUGAAAGUAGAUAAGCUCAUGAGACAAGCUGGAAAGACAUUUAAGGAAUACCCCGGAAUACAACAUUCGGAUUCUUCACAGAUAAAGUAACUUGGAAACAAACUACUCAAUGAAGAGAUAACAUCAUUCCAGGAUCUUUGGCAAUAUGAACUCUGAACAACUACAUGCGUUUGAUUCAGUAAUGGAAUCGAUGAACAAAAAUUUGGGAAAGAAUAUAUUUGUGGACGGCUAUGGCGGGAUCUGUAAGACAUACCUACGGAGGCAAUCACAGCAAAGUUGUGUUCCGAAGGAAAGAUAGUACUAGUAGUGGUGUCAUGUCAUAUUGUAGCGCUGCUUCUAUAGGGAGCACACUCGAGGUUCCACAUCCCCCUAUCCUUGCAGAAGAGUCAACAUGUUAAGGUUCCCACUUGACCUACUAAAAAAGACUUCACUUAUACUACGGGAUGAAGGUCUAAUGGCAAACAAGAUAUGCUUUGAGGCACUAGACAGAAGUAAAGGUAGUACUAUAUUGUCCUAAACAAGUGUUCACAAAUGGAUAGCUACACGUAGCAUUAUCAAGAUUCACAAGAAGAGAUGGACAAUGUGUAAUGGUAAAUGAUGAAGAUAGCAAAGAGGAUGAUGUGGUCAAGAACAUUGUCUAUACUGAACUAUUUUAAAGGUAUGGAAAAACAAAAACACUUUUAGUAUGAUUCUUAGAUAAGAAUAGGUACAUGAAAAAUUUGUACACUGCAAACUAUCUUCAAAAUACAAAUUAAUAGCAUACCAAUGCUAACAUGAUAUGGCAGGACAAAUAUGGUCCACUGCUCUGCGUAAGUACUGGAAACGUGCAUCAACAUUUGAAGGAAAUAGUUAAUCAAUACCAAACAUGUACACUAUAUUUUCUGAUAUUUGUGGCUUAAUAUAUAGUACAACACAAUAUAAAGAGCAUCUGUGCAUCAUUAUAAUUUGUAUGACAAUGCGGUCAGACCUAUUUUACUACUCUAUUAAUAUAAAUACAUUUUUGUCUUUGGGAAAUAUUAAACUAGAGUUACUCACAAUUACACUGAUUAAUACAUAUAUUUGUUCAAUAUGAAUUGGGGUAAGGUUUUUAUUAUUUAUAUGUGUUAAAUAUGAAUUGGAGUAAGGGGGGCUAAUACUGCCGAUUACGGUCCAAGCCUGGAAAGAAGUGGAAGGGGCAUAAGAAAAUAAACAUUUUCCACUAACAGGCAGUACCUUAAUCACAUUAUAUUGGUAUAUACAACCGUACAAACAUAAUAAAAGGUUAAUAAAAAAUCGCAAUCAGGAAAAGGAGAAAGGGGAACCUGUAGGACGAAGAAAGCUGCCGAUGUGGAGGAAGACGACGAUGUGUCUGGCUGCCUCGACUGGGAACGACGACGAUGCGUCUGGCUCGCGCGCUAGGGGAAGACAACGCUGCCGCCAUCCUCAUGCUGAAGAUGGAUUCAAGCUGGCAGCGGAAGACAAGAUCCAAGCCCACAUCACAUGCGAGUCGAGCUGGGAGGUGCCUCAGUCGAGGACGAGCAAGCUAAAGGGAGAGCAAACUGAUGGUAGCUGAGUUACCAGUCGGAUCUCAUUCGGUCGUAGGAAUUUUGGAAUGAGCGAGCGGAGAGAAGAAGGAAAGGAGAAAGGGGAUCGGGCAAGAGUACGAUUUUUUAUUUGUAGGGAAGCAACUGCAAUACGUUUCUUUUAGCGGUGCAAGAGCUACAUGCUCACAUGUGAAGGUACGGUCUGAGCAAGAGAGAAAAUGUGUGAG
rnacentral:lncRNA from 1 species